CCAGACUCCUACGGGAGGCAGCAGUGAGGAAUAUUGGUCAAUGGCCGAGAGGCUGAACCAGCCAAGUCGCGUGAGGGAUGACGGCCCUACGGGUUGUAAACCUCUUUUGCCGGGGAGCAACGGGGUCCUUGCGAGGGCCCGAUGAGAGUACCCGGAGAAAAAGCAUCGGCUAACUCCGUGCCAGCAGCCGCGGUAAUACGGAGGAUGCGAGCGUUAUCCGGAUUUAUUGGGUUUAAAGGGUGCGCAGGCGGAGGUGCAAGUCAGCGGUCAAAUUGCGGGGCUCAACCCCGUACUGCCGUUGAAACUGCAUCCCUUGAGUGCGCGAGAAGUAUGCGGAAUGCGUGGUGUAGCGGUGAAAUGCAUAGAUAUCACGCAGAACUCCGAUUGCGAAGGCAGCCUACUAAACUGCCACUGACAUUGAUGCUCGAAAGUGUGGGUAUCAAACAGGAUUAGAUACCCGUGUA
rnacentral:rRNA from 1 species